CUAUUAGUUAACUAUUUGUAAUGUUAUUUAAAAUUAGUUAGCUAGUUUUAGAACUUAGUUAGCUAAUUUUGUUAAUCAGUUAGCUUAGCUAUCAGCUGUGCUUUUCUUGUUAGCUCUCUUUCUUCUUCCUCUUUUCCUCGUGUAUGAACAUCAGAAGGAUAUUCUAAUCGAUGAGAAGCACAUUUUCAUUCUAGCACAUCUUUGUAAUAUGGUGUCAGAGCUAGAGAUCCAAAUCUAGAACUAUAAAUAGUUAUUUUCUGCCUUUCUUAUUCUCAAGGCUUUACCGUUCAUCAAUGGCGGCAAUUUCCUUUAUAGCUACUGCAAGUCUAUUAGAAGAUGGUACUUCACUCUGUUAUCUUUAUCAUUCAGAAAAUCGGAACUCAGUAGUAGUAAUUACCUGAACUCAUCUCAACCAAUUUUCUAUCAAGGAGGAGAUCUAAUCAAGGGUUUCUUGAUGGUACAAUUUGUAAGUCUUCACAGCAUCUCCCAUGGAUUCGUUGCAAUUAUCUCUUUGCAGCAUGGUUUCUAAGAUCUGUUUCCCUUCGUGUUGCUUCAAUUUGGGGAAAAUUGCAUCAAAGUUUUUUAGGGAGGUUUCGGGUCUAUUAUUCAUCAAGUCUCAGAUGUUACUACGUAUUCAGUUUCAAGAAAUAUUGAGGACAUAAUCUAAGAUAGCUCUAGUCUUAAUCCAUUUAAAGAUCAAGUUCACAUGUUGAUGCUGCUUCUGAACAAUCAAAUUACUUCAUUUUCUUCUCAAGUGAACGUGGCAGGCUAUGAAGGAUGAACUUGAUGCUUUAGAAUAGAAUAGGACUUGGACUAUUACUCAAUUGCCUAUAGGUGCCAAAUCAGAGGGUUGUAAAUGGGUUUACAGUGUGAAGUUUAAAUCUGAUGGUACCAUUGAUAGGUACAAGGCUAGACUUGUGGCCAAAAGGUACACAUAGAGGGUUGGAUUUGAUUACUAAGAGAAUUUUAGUCCUGUUGCUAAGCACACUACAGUUAGGACAUUUCUUGCUCUUGUAGCCAUUUCAGUUGGCACCUAUCUUAAUUGGAUGUUAAUAAUGCUUUUCUGAAUGGGGAUUUCUGAAUGGGAGCUUGUUGAAGAAAUUUACAUGGAUCUUCCUCCUGGUUAUAUACCUUUGGAGGAGUAUGGUGGUGAUGGCUCAAAGUUAGUUUGCAAACUUCAGAAGUCUUUAUAUGGGCUGAAGCAGGCGUCAAGGCAGUGGAAUAUAAAAUUUACCGAAAGUUUACUUAAUGAAUGGCUUUAUCAAUCUAAAUUUGAUUACUCAUUGUUCACCAAGUAAUAUGGGGAUGGGUUUGUUGCACUUCUUGUAUAUGUUGAUGACGUCAUUAUUGGCACUGGCAAUAAAGGGUUGAUUGAUGAAUUAAGGGUUAGUUUGAGUUCAUGUUGUAAGUUGAAAGAUCUUGAGAACUUGCAAUAUUUUCUUGAAAUUUCGAGAUCAACUAAAAGCUUUGUAAUUUCUUAUAGGAAAUUUAUUUUAGAAAUGUUGGAAGAGUAUGGAUUACUUGUGGCCAAGCCUAUCUCAAUUCCAGUAGAACUGAAUAUCAAACUUAUGCAUGUAGAAGAAAAAUUACUUGUAGAUCCAAUUCUUUAUAGACAAAUAGUUGGGAAAUUGAUGUAUGUUAUAUUGACAAGGCUAGAUAUUGCCUAUGGAGUUCAUGUAUUAUCUCAGUUUAUGGAUAAACCAGUUGAGAUACAUUUAGAUGCAACACAAAAAGUUCUCAAGUAUCUAAAGAAUGCUCUAGGUCAAGGCUUAUUCUUGUCUUUGCAGUUUGAAAUAAAGUUGACAGCAUAUUCAAACAGUGACUGGGCAGAUUGUUGUGAAACUAAGAGAUCGUUGACUAGUUUUUACAUUUUUCUUGGACAAUCCUUGAUCAGUUGGAAGCCCAAGAAGCAAUCCGCAGUUUCAAGAAGCUCAGCAGAGGCAAAGUAUAGAUUUAUGGUAGCUACAACUUCAGAAAUAUUAUGGUUAAUUGCUUUAUUAUCAGAUUUUAGAAUUCAAGUUCCUCAACCUGUGUACUUGAAUUCUGAUAGCAUGUCUACAAUACAUAUCUCCAAGAACCCUGUUUUUCAUUAGAGAACAAAGCUUAUUGAAAUAGAUUGUCACUUCAUCAAAUACAAGGUGUUGCUUGGAGUUGUUAAACCAGAGUAUUUGAAGUCAAGUGAGUAGCUAGCUGAUUUGUUUACAAAGCCAUUGCGUCCUUUCAAAUUUAGGUAUCUUUUGAGCAAGUUGAACAUUAGCAAUAUAUAUGCUCAACUUAAGGGAGAGUAUCAAGCAAAGGAUGAAAAGAAGAAGAUCGCAACCUGUAGUAGAGCUAUCAGUUAGUUGAAAUAGUUAGCUACUUGUAAUGUUAUUUAAAAUUAGUUGGCUAGUUUUAGAAUUUAGUUAGCUAAUUAUGUUAAUCAAUUAGCUUAGUUGUCAAUUGUGCUUUUCUUGUUGGUUCUCUUUCUUCUUUCUCUUUUGCUCUUGUAUAUAAACUUCAUAUGGUUAUUCUAAUCGAUGAGAAGCACAUUUUCAUUCCA